rnacentral:tRNA from 1 species
AGUGAAUAUAGUUUAUUAAAAAUUUUAGUUUGUGAGCCUAAAGAUGAGGGUUUAUUACCCCCUAUUCACCG